UUCCUACGGGGCGCAGCAGUAAGGAAUUUUCGUCAAUGGGCGCAAGCCUGAACGAGCAACGCCGCGUGAACGAGGAAGGUCUUCGGAUCGUAAAGUUCUGUUGAAGGGGAAAAAGAGCGGAGAGAGGAAAUGAACUCCGAUUGAUAUUACCCUUCGAGGAAGUCACGGCUAACUACGUGCCAGCAGCCGCGGUAAUACGUAGGUGGCGAGCGUUAUCCGGGAUGAUUGGGCGUAAAGGGUGCGUAGGCGGCCUGCUAAGUCUGGAGUGAAAGGUACCGGCUCAACAGGUACA
rnacentral:rRNA from 1 species